rnacentral:rRNA from 1 species
UACAGGGGGUGCUAGCGUUGUUCGGAAUUACUGGGCGUAAAGGGCGCGUAGGCGGUUUAUCAAGUCUGUUGUGAAAUCCCGGGGCUUAACUCCGGACGUGCAGUGGAAACUGAUAGACUUGAGUGUAGUAGAGGUUGGUGGAAUUCCCAGUGUAGAGGUGAAAUUCGUAGAUAUUGGGAGGAACACCGGUGGCGAAGGCGGCCAACUGGGCUACAACUGACGCUGAGGCGCGAAAGCGUGGGGAUCAAACAGG